AUUGAACGCUGGCGGAAUGCUUUACACAUGCAAGUCGUACGGCAGCACGGGGCAACCUGGUGGCGAGUGGCGAACGGGUGAGUAAUACAUCGGAACGUGCCCAAUCGUGGGGGAUAACGUAGCGAAAGUUACGCUAAUACCGCAUACGAUCUACGGAUGAAAGCGGGGGAUCGCAAGACCUCGCGCGAAUGGAGCGGCCGAUGUCAGAUUAGGUAGUUGGUGGGGUAAAGGCUCACCAAGCCAACGAUCUGUAGCUGGUCUGAGAGGACGACCAGCCACACUGGGACUGAGACACGGCCCAGACUCCUACGGGAGGCAGCAGUGGGGAAUUUUGGACAAUGGGCGCAAGCCUGAUUCAGCAAUGCCGCGUGCAGGAUGAAGGCCUUCGGGUUGUAAACUGCUUUUGUACGGAACGAAACGGCGAGCUCUAAUACAGUUUGCUAAUGACGGUACCGUAAGAAUAAGCACCGGCUAACUACGUGCCAGCCGCCGCCGUAAAAC
rnacentral:rRNA from 1 species